rnacentral:lncRNA from 1 species
AUUUGUUGCUCUUUUUUUCUUCAUUGUAUUUAUCAUUACUUGACAUACUAAAUGUCUUACUUCUUUAUUUGUGCUGUUCUGCCCUAGCUAGGAUAUAAGCUCCAUGAAGGCCAAAUAUUUUUUCUUUUUUUUCCCUAUAUCUCCAGCAUCAAGAACACUGUCUGGCAUACAAUGGACACUCAAUCAAUAUUUGUUGAAAGAAUGAACAAUGGAAUGAAUGGUUGUAUUAACCAUCAUAUCUGGUGACAAACCAAACUUGACCAGGUGACAGUACGAAGACUCACAGUAGUGGGGAAGUCCUGUCCUCAAGUCCAUGCAGCUCAGGAAUGGGAGAACUUGGAUCUGAGUGAGCCCUGAUUGUCGCCUUGAGGACCAUUGUAUUUUCAGAGCCUUGCCUUGCUUCUCAGAGGUGAGAGCCACCUCCAUUUCAACACGGCCAUUGCUGGAGCUGAGGCAGCCUCCUAGUCGCCCCAAGCAGGACAGAUGCUCUUUGGCUCCUUUGGGUUGGGAGCACAGAUAUCAACUGGACAUGAAGGGCUGGGACAGGAGAGAGCCUGUGUGGAGAGGAGGUUCUUCCAGGAGGUGGUAAGAGAACCAGUUCUCAUUCAUCAAGUGUCUACUUUGUGCCAGGCACUGGGCUGAGUGCUUCACAUGUGCAAUAGCUGUGGUUUCAGUCUAUAAACCCAGAUGAACAAGAACUAAAAUAAAACUCCCUUUCCUUUUCCUUAUCAUUUUGAGCCCCCAGUUUGCUAAAUAGGAGAAACCUAAUCUCAGUUCAUUUGGGUCCUACCUUGCCUCAGAAUAUGUCUAAGUUCCAUGGGUCUUUUUAAAAUGUAAAUUUAAAUGUUUUAGAGACAGGGUCUCACUCUGUGGUCCAGGCUGGUGCAGUGGCAUGAUCAUAGUUGAUUACAGCCUAGAACUCUAGGAUUCAAGUGAUCCUCUUGUCUCAGCCUCCCGAGUAGCUGGGACUAUAAACAUGCACCUCCGUGCCCAGCUGUAUUAGUCCAUUUUUGCACUACUAUAAAGAAACACCUGAGACUGGGUAAUUUAUAAAUAAAAGAGGUCUAAUUGGCUCAUGUUCUGAAGGCUGUACAGGGAAGAAUGGCAGAUUCUGCUACUGGGAAGGCCUCAGGAAACUUUCAAUCAUGGCAGAAGGCAAAGGUGAAGCAAGAUCAUCUUACGUGACCAGAGCAGGAGAAAGAUAGAGAGGGGAAAGAUGCCACACACUUUAAAACAAUCAGAUCUAGUGAGAACUCACUCACUAUACAGUACCAAGGGGUAUGAUACUAAACCAUUUGUAUAAACUCUUCCCCCAUGAUCCAAUCACUUCCCAUCAGGCCCACCUCCAAAUUCAACAUGAGGUUUGGGUAGGGACACACGUUCAAAUCAUCUUAUUCCACCCCUGAUCCCUCCCAAAUCUCAUGUCCUUCUCACAUUUCAAAAUACAAUCAUACCUUCCCAACAGUCCUCCAAAGUCUUAACUCAUUCUAGCAUUACUCAAAAGUCCAAAGUCCCAAGUCUCUUUGAGACAAGGCUAGUCACUUUCACCUAUGAGCCUGUAAAAUUGAAAACAAAUUAGUUACUUCCAAGAUACAAUGGGGUUAUAGGCAUAUUAUACUUCCAUUCCAAAAGGGAGAAAUCAGCCAGAAGAAAGGGCCUAAGGCUCCAUGCAAGUCUAAAACCCAGUAGGACAUUCAUUAAACCUUAAAGUUCCAAAACAAUCUCAUUUGACUCUAUGUCCCACAUCCAGGACACACUGGUGUGAGGGGUGGGCUCCCAAGGCCAUGGGCAGCCCUGUCCCUGUGGCUUUUCAGGGUUCAGUCCCUGCUACUGCUUCCAAAGGC